AAUGAAUGCUGGAACCAGGCUUAACACAUGCAAGUCGAGCGAUUUUGUCGUAUUUAUACGAUAGAGUAGCGGCGAACGGGUGAGUAAUACGUGGGAAUGUGCCUCGUGGAGGCGAACAACUACUAGAAAUGGUAGCUAAUACGCCGUAAGUCCGAAAGGAGAAAGAUUUAUCGCCAUGAGAUCAGCCCACGUCAGAUUAGCUAGUUGGUAGGGUAAAGGCCUACCAAGGCCGUGAUCUGUAGCUGGUUUGAGAGGAUGUACAGCCACACUGGGACUGAGAUACGGCCCAG
rnacentral:rRNA from 1 species